CCCUUCUACAAAGGCAUGUCUGUGGUUUCCCUGUCUUUGGACGUAACUGGAGGCAAAGAAAUGUGAACUUGGAGAAGUCUGGAACCUCAAGACUUCCUGCAGGCUCAAGAUUAACCAUCCCACAUAG